rnacentral:rRNA from 1 species
ACCUGCCCAAGAGACUGGGAUAACACCUGGAAACAGAUGCUAAUACCGGAUAACAACACUAGACGCAUGUCUAGAGUUUAAAAGAUGGUUCUGCUAUCACUCUUGGAUGGACCUGCGGUGCAUUAGCUAGUUGGUAAGGUAACGGCUUACCAAGGCAACGAUGCGUAGCCGACCUGAGAGGGUGAUCGGCCACACUGGAACUGAGACACGGUCCAG